UACGGAGGGGGCGAGCGUUAUUCGGAAUUAUUGGGCGUAAAGGGCGCGUAGGCGGCUGUACAAGUCAAAGGUGAAAUCCCUCGGCUCAACUGAGGAACUGCCUUUGAAACUGUACGGCUUGAGGCCGGGAGGGGGUAGCGGAAUUCCCAGUGUAGCGGUGAAGUGCGUAGAUACUGGGAGGAACACCAGUGGCGAAGGCGGCUACCUGGACCGGUUCUGACGCUGAGGCGCGAAAGCUAGGGGAGCAAACGGG
rnacentral:rRNA from 1 species